ensembl:lncRNA
UUUGAUUCAGGUUGACCUAUGCUGGGGGGGAAAUAAGAUUUACAUACUCCAGGCAGGUGUCAGGAGCUAUAAUAACUAGUGAGAUCUGGAUGCCCAUGAACGGAUAGUGUGGAUAUGAUAAAAUACAGUAGAAAAGACCAACAAUUAGGGCAACAUUGUCCAGCAUUGGUGCUGAUGCUUAGUACUUCAAGAUCUUCGUUAAUAAGAAAAUUAUUUAGAGACACUGCAGUCAAUAGGCAAUGAAAGUGCUCAUCACCUCAGUAUAAGCGACCUUUUACUUAUAUGCCUCAUCACAGAUUAAGGACUUUGGCCUCUGUGUUAGAAAAUGUUGGCCUUGGAUUAUGAGCUGAAGUGUGUUGCAAUUCCUUUUCUAGCAUAGGAAGAUUCUGUGGUAGCUGCUGACUGCAAGUGAAGGCACUUAUCUAUGCCUGUUAUUCUGUAACUUGCUGUCCUUAUGAAGAAUUCAUUUUACAAGGGAUUAGUAGAAAUCAGCUAUUUUUGCUUGGCAAAACAAGGGCUGACAGCGGAUGUGAUUGCUGACUGCAAAUAUACCAAGAAGAGGUAAACCUCAGAGAGCUGAGAAGAGCUAUUUAAGCUAAAAAUAACCUUGACACAUGAACAAACAUACACUAACCAGCCCUGAAUAAAAUYAGGAAAAGAAGUAGGUUACCAAUAAUCCAAACAAUGAAGGUGCUGGAAGAACUUUCUGAUAGAAGAAAUGCAAGCAGAAUGCCAAAGUGCUUUUUGGAUGGAGUUUAACCAGCACCUGAAAGGGAAUAGGUAAGAGGAUUGCAUGUUGCUGUGUCUAGACUGUGGGGCCUGGGCUUACUCCCAUGUCAGGAYGAAACUCAGUUGGUUUUGUACCGAACAACGUCCUUAUUCCUUUGAGGAGCAACUCCCCAUCAGACAAAGACAAAGUCCUGUGGAGACAGUCACCACAUUGCUUGGGUAUCGUGCUCAGCAACUUGCCUCAGGAAGCAAGAAGCAAAGACCCUGGUAUCACCAUCACCAAGAGGAGACUCUUUUCACUGUCCUUGCCCAAGAGCGACUGAUGAAGAGACACCUCAGACAGCUUUAAAAUAGCCAUCUUGCGGCUGCAUCCAUUUGAGGCUCAUUGACUCUGCUUUUGGAAUAACUUCGGAAGGCAAGACUCACAGCUCUGGUUAAGGAGAGAAACUGGACAGUGCUUGUACCUGUACUGCACACCUUCAUGACCACUUCACUUUACUGCAGGACUCUCCAGACUCUCUAGCCAGCCUAACCAACAAUGUGAAGUUUCAUUAAUUUGUGAAAAUAGGCUGGUUUGGCUAAUAUCUCUGGGAACAGUUUUCAAGUCAGAUUAUUAAAUAUAUUUUUGGAAGGGAGCGGGAAUGGAAGUAGGGGAAGGGCAUUUUUCCUAUUAGUUCUUCACCUGAGGCU